rnacentral:rRNA from 1 species
AUUGAACGCUGGCGGCAGGCCUAACACAUGCAAGUCGAGCGAGCGGCGGACGGGUGAGUAAUGUAUGGGGACUGCCCGAUAGAGGGGGAUAACUACUGGAAACGGUGGCUAAUACCGCAUACUAUCGGAUAACCCAUAUGGGAUUAGCUUGUAGGUGGGGUAACGGCUCACCUAGGCGACGAUCCCUAGCUGGUCUGAGAGGAGGAUCAGCCACACUGGGACUGAGACACGGCCCAGACUCCUACGGAGGAAGCAGUGGGGAAUAUUGCACAAUGGGCGAAAGCCUGAUGCAGCCAUGCCGCGUGAGUGAAGAAGGCUUUAGGGUUGUAAAGUACUUUCAGCAGGGAGGCGUUACCCGAAGAAGAAGCACCGGCUAACUCCGUGCCAGCAGCCGCGGUAAUAC